rnacentral:rRNA from 1 species
CUGGCGGCAUGCCUAAGACAUGCAAGUCGAACGAGGUGGCCCAUUGAAGGUUGAGUGCUUGCACAAGACUGGAUUUGGAUUACCACCUAGUGGCAGACGGGUGAGUAACACGUGGUGACCUACCUUUAUGUUGGGGAUAACAGUUGGAAACGAUUGCUAAUACCGAAUGAUAUAUAAGAGUCAAUUUUAUAUUGAAAGGAGCCUUUAAAGCUUCGCAUAGAGAUGGGCCUGCGGCGUAUUAGCUAGUUGGUGAGGUAAUGGCUCACCAAGGUAACGAUGCGUAGCCGAACUGAGAGGUUGAUCGGCCACACUGGGACUGAGACACGGCCCAGACUCCUACGGGAGACAGCAGUUAGGAAUAUUCGUCAAUGGGGGGAACCCUGAACGAGCAAUGCCGCGUGAGUGAUGAAGGUCUUUGGAUCGUAAAACUCUGUUGUAUGGAAAGAAUGACUAGGUUAGGAAAUGAACUUAGUGUGACGGUACCAUACCAGAAAGCCCCGGCUAACUACGUGCCAGCAGCCGC